AUUGAACGCUGGCGGCAUGCCUUACACAUGCAAGUCGCACGGCAGCACGGGAGCAAUCCUGGUGGCGAGUGGCGAACGGGUGAGUAAAGUAUCGGAACGUGCCCAGUCGUGGGGGAUAACGUAGCGAAAGUUACGCUAAUACCGCAUACGAUCUAUGGAUGAAAGCGGGGGAUCGCAAGACCUCGCGCGAUUGGAGCGGCCGAUAUCAGAUUAGGUAGUUGGUGGGGGAAAGGCUCACCAAGCCGACGAUCUGUAGCUGGUCUGAGAGGACGACCAGCCACACUGGGACUGAGACACGGCCCAGACUCCUACGGGAGGCAGCAGUGGGGAAUUUUGGACAAUGGGCGAAAGCCUGAUCCAGCCAUGCCGCGUGCAGGAUGAAGGCCUUCGGGUUGUAAACUGCUUUUGUACGGAACGAAAAGGUUUGGCCUAAUAAGCUGAGCUCAUGACGGUACCGUAAGAAUAAGCACCGGCUAACUACGUGCCAGCCGCCGCGGUAA
rnacentral:rRNA from 1 species